rnacentral:ncRNA from 1 species
GCCUACCAGAACGGUCGCACGGAUGCGGAAAGCUAAUCGUUUAGCAAUAUUAACUAAUUAUUAGGUCGACAAUGCAUCCUGUUCUUGUGCGAGAAGAAAGACUUAGUACGGUAGUCAGUGUUGAUGGAGACAUUGACACGGGAG